AUUGAACGCUGGCGGCAGGCCUAACACAUGCAAGUCGAGCGGAUGAAGGGAGCUUGCUCCUGGAUUCAGCGGCGGACGGGUGAGUAAUGCCUAGGAAUCUGCCUGGUAGUGGGGGAUAACGUCCGGAAACGGGCGCUAAUACCGCAUACGUCCUGAGGGAGAAAGUGGGGGAUCUUCGGACCGCACGCUAUCAGAUGAGCCUAGGUCGGAUUAGCUAGUUGGUGGGGUAAAGGCCUACCAAGGCGACGAUCCGUAACUGGUCUGAGAGGAUGAUCAGUCACACUGGAACUGAGACACGGUCCAGACUACUGCGGGAGGCAGCAGUGGGGAAUAUUGGACAAUGGGCGAGAGCCUGAUACAGCCGUGCCGAGUGUGUGAAGAAGGUCUUCGGAUUGUAAAGCACUUUAAGUUGGGGGGAAGGGCAGUAAGUUGAUACCUUGCUGUUUUGACGUUACCAACAGAAUAAGCACCGGCUAACUUCGUG
rnacentral:rRNA from 1 species